rnacentral:rRNA from 1 species
UCCUACGGGGGGCAGCAGUGGGGGAUAUUGCCCAAUGGGGGGAACCCUGAUGCAGCGACGCCGCGUGGGUGAAGAAGCGCCUCGGCGCGUAAAGCCCCGUCAGCAGGGAAGAAAAUGACGGUACCUGAAGAAGAAGCCCCGGCUAACUACGUGCCAGCAGCCGCGGUAAUACGUAGGGGGCAAGCGUUAUCCGGAUUUACUGGGUGUAAAGGGGGCGCAGACGGCGAUGCAAGCCAGGAGUGAAAGCCCGGGGCCCAACCCCGGGACUGCUCUUGGAACUGCGUGGCUGGAGUGCAGGAGGGGCA